rnacentral:rRNA from 1 species
CGGCAAUGGGGGAAACCCUGACCGAGCAACGCCGCGUGAAUGAUGAAGGUCUUCGGAUUGUAAAAUUCUGUGGUAAGAGAAGAAAGAUAUAAAGAGGAAAUGCUUUGUAUUUGACGGUAUCUUGCUAGAAAGCCACGGCUAACUACGUGCCAGCAGCCGCGGUAAUACGUAGGUGGCAAGCGUUAUCCGGAAUUACUGGGCGUAAAGAGUGAGCAGGCGGUUAGAUAAGUCUAUGGUUAAAUGCAACAGCUCAACUGUUGUUCGCUAUAGAAACUAUUUAACUAGAGUGCGGGAGAGGUAAGUGGAACUCCAUAUGUAGCGGUGGAAUGCUUAGAUAUAUGGAAGAACACCAGAGGCGAAGGCGGCUUACCAGUCCGUAACUGACGCUCAGUCACGAAAGCGUGGGGAGCAAAUAGGAUUAGAUAUCCUAGUAGUCCACGCCGUAAACGAUGAGAACCUGAUGCAGGAGAUAUUCUGUGUCGAAGCUAACGCGUUAAGUUCUCCGCCUGGGUACUACGUUCGCAAGAAUAAAACUUAAAGGAAUUGACGGGCGCCCGCACAAGCAGUGGAGCAUGGGGUUUAAUUCGUCGAUACACGAAAAACCUUACCAGGGCUUGACAUCCCGCUAAAAGCCUUAGAAAUAAGGAAAUAGUUAUAGCGGUGACAGGUGGUGCAUGGUUGUCGUCAGCUCGUGCCGUGAGGUGUUAGGUUAAGUCCUCAAACGAGCGCAACCCUUGUCUUUAGUUGCCAUUAUUAAUUUAGGAACUCUAGAGAGACUGCCGGCGCAAGCCGGAGGAAGGCGGGGAUGACGUCAAAUCAUCAUGCCCUUUAUGCCCUGGGCCACACCCGUGCUACAAUGGUCGGUACAAAGAGAAGCAACACUGUGAGGUGAAGCAAAUCCCAUAAAGCCGAUCUCAAUUCGGAUUGAAGUCUGCAACUCGACUUCAUGAAGCUGGAAUUGCUAGUAAUCGCAGAUCAGCAACGCUGCGGUGAAUACGUUCUCGGGCGUUGUACACACUGCCCGUCACACCAUGAGAGCCGGUAAUACUCGAAGUCGUUAGCCUAACCGUAAGGAGGGCGGCGCCUAAGGUAGGACUGGUGAUUGGGGUUAAGUCGUAACAAGGUAUCCCUACGAGAACGUGGGGAUG